GCGAGAUUAGUUUAGUGGCAGAAUGGCUGCUUCCCAAGCAGUAGGCACGAGUUCGAUUCUCGUAUCUCGCACCA
rnacentral:tRNA from 1 species